rnacentral:rRNA from 1 species
AAGGCCUAGUGGCGAACGGGUGAGUAGCACGUGAGCAACCUGCCCCGAAGACCGGGACAACACCGGGAAACCGGUGCUAAUACCGGAUGCCCCCACCGGGCCGCAUGGCCUGGUGAGGAAAUGGAUUCCGCUUCGGGAGGGGCUCGCGGCCUAUCAGCUUGUUGGUGGGGUAAUGGCCUACCAAGGCAUCGACGGGUAGCUGGUCUGAGAGGACGAUCAGCCACACUGGGACUGAGACACGGCCCAGACUCCUACGGGAGGCAGCAGUGGGGAAUCUUGCACAAUGGGCGAAAGCCUGAUGCAGCAACGCCGCGUGAGGGACGAAGGCUUUCUGAGUUGUAAACCUCUUUCAGCAGGGACGAUUGUGACGGUACCUGCAGAAGAAGCCCCGGCCAACUACGUGCCAGCAGCCGCGGUAAUACGUAGGGGGCAAGCGUUGUCCGGAUUUAUUGGGCGUAAGAGCUCGUAGGCGGCUUGGCAAGUCGGAUGUUAAACUCCAGGCUCAACCUGGA